CAGCAGCCACGGGAAUACGGAGGGUGCAAGCGUUAAUCGGAAUUACUGGGCGUAAAGCGCACGCAGGCGGUUUGUUAAGUCAGAUGUGAAAUCCCCGGGCUCAACCUGGGAACUGCAUUUGUGACUGUAUAGCUAGAGUACGGCAGAGGGGGAUGGAAUUCCGCGUGUAGCAGUGAAAUGCGUAGAUAUGCGGAGGAACACCGAUGGCGAAGGCAAUCCCCUGGGCCUGUACUGACGCUCAUGCACGAAAGCGUGGGGAGCAAACAGGAUUAGAUACCCGCGUAGUCCCUGUCUCUUAUAC
rnacentral:rRNA from 1 species